UGGGAAUAUUGCACAAUGGGCGAAAGCCUGAUGCAGCAACGCCGCGUGAGUGAUGAAGGCCUUCGGGUUGUAAAGCUCUGUCUUCUGGGACGAUAAUGACGGUACCAGAGGAGGAAGCCACGGCUAACUACGUGCCAGCAGCCGCGGUAAUACGUAGGUGGCAAGCGUUGUCCGGAUUUACUGGGCGUAAAGGAUGCGUAGGCGGAUACUUAAGUCAGAUGUGAAAAUCCCGGGCUUAACUUGGGAACUGCAUUUGAAACUGGGUAUCUAGAGUGCGGGAGAGGAAAGUGGAAUUCCUAGUGUAGCGGUGAAAUGCGUAGAGAUUAGGAAGAACACCAGUGGCGAAGGCGACUUUCUGAACCGUAACUGACGCUGAGGCAUGAAAGCGUGGGGAGCAAACA
rnacentral:rRNA from 1 species